rnacentral:rRNA from 1 species
GACGAACGCUGGCGGCGUGCUUAACACAUGCAAGUCGAACGCUGAAGCCUGGCUUUUGUUGGGUGGAUGAGUGGCGAACGGGUGAGUAACACGUGAGUAACCUGCCCUCUUCUUUGGGAUAACGCCCGGAAACGGGUGCUAAUACUGGAUAUUCACUUGCCUUCGCAUGGGGGUGGGUGGAAAGGGUUUUUUCUGGUGGGGGAUGGGCUCGCGGCCUAUCAGCUUGUUGGUGGGGUGAUGGCUUACCAAGGCUUUGACGGGUAGCCGGCCUGAGAGGGUGACCGGUCACAUUGGGACUGAGAUACGGCCCAGACUCCUACGGGAGGCAGCAGUGGGGAAUAUUGCACAAUGGGCGCAAGCCUGAUGCAGCGACGCCGCGUGAGGGAUGGAGGCCUUCGGGUUGUGAACCUCUUUCGCUCAUGGUCAAGCCGCAACUCAUGGUUGUGGUGAGGGUAGUGGGUAAAGAAGCGCCGGCUAACUACGUGCUAGCAGCCGCGGUAAUACGUAGGGCGCGAGCGUUGUCCGGAAUUAUUGGGCGUAAAGGGCUUGUAGGCGGUUGGUCGCGUCUGCCGUGAAAUCCUCUGGCUUAACUGGGGGCGUGCGGUGGGUACGGGCUGGCUUGAGUGCGGUAGGGGAGACUGGAACUCCUGGUGUAGCGGUGGAAUGCGCAGAUAUCAGGAAGAACACCGGUGGCGAAGGCGGGUCUCUGGGCCGUUACUGACGCUGAGGAGCGAAAGCGUGGGGAGCGAACAGG